rnacentral:lncRNA from 1 species
GUGAGUGAAUUGACCCAUCUCAUACUUUGAAUCAAGCAUGCAUUCCUUUUCUCGUUGUGCAGGUGUCUCUAGUUGUUUUCCUUCAGUGUUUUCGUCCUUUUAAAUUUUAUUAUAUUUUGCUCUCCCUGACAUCUGUUUUUUAUAAAAUAAAAAAUAAAAAAAGUAAGACAUAGAUAAUACCCUCAAUGCCUCUGGAUACUCACAAGCAGGGUUAUGCUCCUUCAUCUUGGGCUUGCUUGCCUAAAUGGAAGGGUUUAAUUUAUUUUGUACCUCCUUCUAUGCGUGGGACAGUCCAGGGUGCAGAGCUAGGAAUUGCUUAUAAUUGCACCUGCUAUACUUAAAUGUAUAGCCCUAGGCUCAAUCACACUAUGGAAAGAAAAAAAAAAUUAUAUUUAGAGCUUUAAAAGCUUUUUUAUUUUUUUGUGGGGAUCGGGGGGUGGGAGAGGGAAGAUGUAUGGAUGUUAUUGGCAUUUUUAAAUGUUCAGAGGUUUUUGUUUUGUUUUGUUUUGUUUCUUCUGUUUUGUUUUUUCUUCCCUUUAAUUGGAUGCACUGACCUGGCCCAAGAAAUGAAGAGAUUCUCUCUUUUGAUGCUAUUACCAAUGUUACAACCAAGUGACAGUCACCUGUAGCAAAAAGGUGGCACCAGACAUGAUCAGUGAUAUUUUAUUUGCACAUCAAUAUUUUUAUUUUUAUAUUCUGGCUCAGCUGCUUCUCUGAGUGGAGUUAAGGAAUGAGCCACAAAGGAUUUUUGUAGUAGCUAUAUUGGCAAUGCAUUUUAUAUUUCUCAGUAUUUAAUUUUGAAACUCUAAAAGGAUUGUGCAUCUUGAGAGAAAGUUGGGCAAAUUUUAAUCUAGUGUUAAUUUGUGCUGCUUCUUGUGCAUGAUAGCAGCAGUAGUAUCUCUCUUGGAAAUAAACAUCCCAUAUUAUGAUGUCUAUGAAUAUAGGUUUCCUUUUCUACCCUCCCUUCCUCCCUCCUUCCUUCCCUCCCUCCCUCCCUCCCUCCCUCCUUUCCUUCCUUCCUUCCUUCCCUUCUCUUUCUUUACUUUUUUGGAAAUCACUUAUUGUAUAUAAGUUGUAAUCCAGACCUCAUGUAUCAAUGGGGAACUUUCAAAUAUAAAUAUUACCAAUACAUUUUCUGGUUGUUGUCUGAUUUUUGAUUGAGGUAUAAUGAGAAUGACAUGUCCAUCGCUUUUGGUUUGAGGAUUUCGCUUUAGCUUCAUAAAUCUUUUGGUAUUUUAGUAUUUCAUUGUUUUAGCAGGAGAGGGCAGCAAAAGUUCAUUUUCCCUGUUAGAAAUGCUGUGGUUCAUGAUUGGUUUUAAAUUUAGUUGUGUGUGUGUUUUUUUUAAACAGCACCUGUUUGUGGGUAGAGGUAAAAAUGAAACAUUUUUGAUAUGAAAAGUUGCAUAUGAAAGUUAUAGACUGGUUCAACCAGACAGUGAAGACUUCUGAUCCACAUUAAAGUUAAAAUGCCACAAAGCAAUCUUCCAGCGCUGGCUAAAAUAUGCUACUUCCUUUUCAAACACAACAAAAUGCAAGCCGAGUCUUAAAACAUUUGGAGUUUUAAAAUGUCUUUCUUUGAAAAUGAUUUACUUUCUUCAAAGUGGUAACAGAAACAAAAAUGAAGGUGCUCCCAAAGGGAAAUGUAACCUUCCCCUUUCACAGGUGUGUGAGAGGUUCUGUACUGUGGGUGCAUCCUAAUAAAGAAGCAGUGAAGAGU